rnacentral:tRNA from 1 species
UCCCCAUCGUCUAGAGGCCUAGGACACCGCCCUUUCACGGCGGUAACAGGGGUUCGAAUCCCCUUGGGGACG